UACGUAGGCAGCGAGCGUUGUUCGGAGUUACUGGGCGUAAAGGGUGCGUAGGCGGUUGUUUAAGUUUGGUGUGAAAUCUCCCGGCUCAACUGGGAGGGUGCGCCGAAUACUGAAUGACUAGAGUGCGGGAGAGGAGAGUGGAAUUCCUGGUGUAGCGGUGAAAUGCGUAGAUAUCGAGAGGAACACCGGUGGCGAAGGCGGCCAACUGGACGAAUACUGACGCUGAGACUCGAAAGCGUGGGGAGCAAACAGG
rnacentral:rRNA from 1 species